rnacentral:rRNA from 4 species
UGACCCCAUGCCGAACUCAGAAGUGAAACGCCGUAGCGCCGAUGGUAGUGUGGGGUCUCCCCAUGCGAGAGUAGGACACUGCCAGGCA